rnacentral:rRNA from 1 species
AAACCGCGAUAAGGGGACACCGAGUGCCAGCAUACAAUGCUGGCUGUCCACAUGUGUAAAUAGCAUGUGAUAGCAAGGGCCGGGCAAGACCGGUGCCAGCCGCCGCGGUAACACCGGCGGCCCGAGUGGUAAUCACUAUUAUUGGGUCUAAAGGGUCCGUAGCCGGUUUAAUCAGUCUUCCGGGAAAUCUGACGGCUCAACUGUUAGGCUUCCGGGGGAUACUGUUAGACUUGGGACCGGGAGAGGUAAGAGGUACUACAGGGGUAGGAGUGAAAUCUUGUAAUCCCUGUGGGACCACCAGUGGCGAAGGCGUCUUACCAGAACGGGUCCGACGGUGAGGGACGAAAGCUGGGGGCACGAACCGGAUUAGAUACCCGGGUAGUCCCUAGCCGUAAACGAUGCUCGCUAGGUGUCUGGAAUGGUGCGACCGUUUCAGGUGCCGCAGGGAAGCCGUGAAGCGAGCCACCUGGGAAGUACGGCCGCAAGGCUGAAACUUAAAGGAA